AGGCCGUGCCCAUCGUGGGCGGCAUCGACACGCUGGAGCUGCCCGGCGCCGUCGUGGGGGACAUGGGGUUUAAUGGCAAUCCUGGCCCAUCUCAUCAAUGCAGUGUUGAGAAGAUGAACCUCAAAGAAGAAAUAGUAGUGAAGGUGGUAGAGCCAGAAGAAAGCUCUGAGGACAUGGUUGUGGUUUCACCUAAUCAAGAAGAACUGCCUUUUCUAGGGACAUCAGGCAGUAGUUCUUCUGGGAAAGUAAAAGCCAAAACAAAAGGCAGGUCCCAGGCAGACCAAAAUGAAAUAACUGAAGAGGACCUACUGCAGAUUCAGCAGACCCAGAUGCAGGUGAUCCAGUCUGGCUUUGACAGUGUCAACCACAAUCUUCGGCUGCUGCAGCAAGGCAUGCAGGAUCUGAGUAACAGCAUCAGCAUCAUGGCGCAUACGCUUGUUGCUAUCAAAAACGUCUAUGUGAAAAACAACACUGGCCCGACCACACACGCCACUGCCUCUACUCAGACCACAGCUGGGUACCUGAGCCCAGGUUCCCCCCAGAUCUCCCCUCCUGAGGACAGAGGUAGAGUGCAGGUGGCUGGAAGCAGCAGCAGAAGCAGCAGCAGCAGCUCCAGCUCCAUGACACAAGAACCAGGUCCCUCCGAGUUUUCUAGGCCCUCUGUGAGAACCAUUAAGAAAGAACAUCCAAAUGGCUGCUACUACUUCUGCUUUGCAGAUGUGUAAAAACUUGAAUAUAUGUAAAGUGACUGUGGUGUUAGGUGCUGUUGUAUGUUCUGCUCCGACCUGUGACUUUGAAGGAGCAAAGUGGACUUGCCUCCUGUGUUUUUCCCAGUGGGAAACAUUUUUGCUAUAGGUGGCAUUAAAAACUAAUUACCAGUCUCCCGUUUGUUAACUCUGUUGCAGUUGGCUAAUAAUUUUCUUCUGUUUUCUUUAUCCUCUUACUCUCUUAAAAAAAACAAACAUUUGAGUAAGACUUUUGUCUGUAUCAUCCUUUGUUUCAUGUCACCUUUUGAAAAAUAAAAGAAAAGGCAUGAGAGUGGGGUAGAAAAAG
rnacentral:lncRNA from 1 species